rnacentral:lncRNA from 10 species
UGGCUCUUAGUUGAUUAUCUCCUGGAUCUGGAAAGAAAGGAAAGAAAAGAAAAGGGGAAAGGGAUUCUCUAUAGAAUGUGGAUUUUUUUUUCCCCCAAGAGACUUUGCAGGGCAAUUUCAAGGUAUGGCAAGGAAGUAUAUUUUGGGGUUAAAUAUUUUUUUCUUGUCUCAUAAUGUUAUGCCAGAGUCGGAUUGAAAACUAAGUCACAAUAUAUAGGGUCAAAUAAAAUCCAUCUGAUGAGAAUUUAUGGUUUGUAGGGCAUGGCUCCUUAGACCCCUUAGGUAGGAAUUUGGGUAAGAUAAAAUAUCAGAGCUUAGUCCUCAGGUUAUUCACACACAGGGACUAUCAGGAGGUUGGAAGAGAAAUUUAUGAGUGUGGGAGUAGGAAGAAGAGCACCCCUCUUUUUUUUUUUUUUUUUUUUUCCUGACGCAGCCUCUUAAUUGGGAGAGAGGAGUUCUGGAGGCAAGCAUAUUUGGCAGCUCCAGAGUACAGCUUUUGAAAAAAACAAACUGAGAAAUCAUUUGUGGGGUAAAAAAGAUAUGGACAGCAAUAAGUACUUACCUCUAUAUUGAAUGAUAGGUCAGAUGUUGAAGUGGUCACUUCCAGUGUGGUUUUAUUUGGAACUGGGACCUCUAAGAAAGCAAUUAAGGUUAAAUGAGGUUGCUCUGAUCUGACAGUAUUAGUGCAUUUAUAAGAAGAGAAAUUAGGGAGCUAUCCAGCCCCAAUGAGAAAGAAGAGGUCACAUAAGCACACAGCAAGAAGGCUGCUGUCUACACGUCUAGAGAAGAGGCCUCAGAAAGAAGCCAGCCUUGCCAGCAAUUUGAUCUUGGACAUUUUAGCCUUGAGAACUGUGAAAAUAAAUUUCUGUUGUUUAAGUUACCCAAUCUGUAGCAUUUUGUUAUGGCAGCUAUAGCAGACAAGUGUGGUAUACUAACUAAAUAAAACUUAUUUUUUAAAAAAUGGACAAAGAAUUUGAAUUGACACUUUUCCAAAAAUGUUAUACAAUAUGCAGUAUGUACAUGAAAAGAGAGUCAGUAUCAUUAGCCAUCAGGUAAAUACCAAUGAAAACCAUGAGACACCACUCACAUCCACUAGAAAUUGCAUAUAAUAUUCCCACAAAAAUUGUAUAUAAAUUUGUACAGCAGCAUUAUUCAUAGUAGCCAAAAAGUGAAAAUAAUUCAACUGUCCAUCAUUCAAUGAAUGGGUUAAAAAAUUUAAUGUGUCGAUAAAAUGGAAUAUAAUUUGCCACAAAAAGUAAUAAAAUGCUAAUAUAUACAACAUGGAUGAAUCUUGCAAAAAUUAUGUUAAGUGGAAGAAGCUAGACCCAAAAGGACGCAUAUAGUAUAAUCCUAUUUAUAUGAAGUUUCCUAAAUGGGCAAACUCAUAGAGACAGAAAGUAGAUUCGUGGUUGUCGGUAUCUAAGGAAAAGUGGGAAUGAAAAAUGAUUGCUCAUGGACAUGGCAUUUCUUUUUGACAUAAUAAAAAUAUUCUAAAAUUAGAGGUGUUGAUAUCAAAAAUGCAUAUACUAAAAUCCACUGAAUUACAAAUUUUAAAAGGGUGAAUUUUAUAAAUUAUAAAUUAUAUUUCAAUAAAGAUGUUAUGAAAACUCAAAACAAAUAAUAAAAAAAGUAUUUUCUAUUGCUAUGAAGUUUCAAAAUAGUCAGUGGGGUACACAUAGGUGGUAGUAAAAGUAAAAAGAGAGCAAAGAUAUAUUUGCCAGAAAGUUAGGAGAACGAAUAUUUUCAAGAACAAGGAAAGGGUGUAUGAUCAGGGAAGGACACAAAAGAGGCUUCUGUAGCAACCGUAUUAAAAUAUCUACCUUUCUAUCACAUCUGGAUGGCUAAUCAGUAUUCACUAUUGCAGCUCUAAUGAGAAAUAAUUUAGACUAUAAAAACAACAGUAUCAUAUAGUUAUUGAGACCCCCAAAGUGACUCAUCUGUCUGCUGAGUUUUUUCUUGCUGGUUGUCUUGUUUAUUAUUUAUGUUAAUAAAUCAGAUCUUCUACAGUGCAUUAUAUUGGCUAUUCUCUGUUCCUACCCACUCCCCC